rnacentral:rRNA from 1 species
AUGGAUCGGCCAGCAGCAAGAAGAGCUAGAGGUGCGGUCGCCAUGACGGUGCUGCUGCUCCUGCUCCUGCCGGGGCCUGCCUCGUCUCUGGCGGGGGCGGCGGUUGGGGUAAUCGUCCGCUCGCCUUUCAUGAAAAGGAUCGCGAGCAUCAUCGUCAAGGAGGUAGCAAGCGCGGGCGCGUCCGCUCUGACGAAGGCCCUCCGCAGCUCCAACAAGGCCGGCCAGCUGGGCUCCGAUGCCGCGGACGACGCCGGCAUCAUACUCUACAACGUCUCCGUCGGACAACAGACCUUCUCCGGCGUGGUCGACAUCUUCAACGACUUUUUCUGGGUGCAGUGCCCGCCCGCUCCGGCGCAAGUGCUCUCCGCAGUCCCCUGCAUCAGCGACACGUGCUCCAGCGUGCUCAGGAAGACCACUAACAACGACUGCGUCGACACAACGAGCAGCUGCCUGUACGCGUACGGGUCACUCGACGAUGGCAGCUACAGCACCGGCUACCUCGGCUAUGAGAAGUUCACCUUCGGUGCUGGGACCGGGACGUCGCCCGUCUCCGGGAGCGUGGUGUUUGGCUGCAGCACCCAGAAUACGGUGAAGGACGGCGCCAUUGGGUUCAGCAAGGGCCCCCUCUCCAUCCUGUCACAGCUACACAUCACCAGGUUCUCCUACUUCCUGACACCCGACGACUCCAAGAGCUCGAGCUCCACCAGCGUGGUCCUGCUGGGCGACCAAGCCGUGCCGCAGACUAAACGUAGCCGCUCCACACCAUUGCUAAAGAGUAACGUGUACCAGGACUUGUACUACGUUAAGCUCACCGGAAUAAAGGUUGACGGUGAGUCGCUAAAAGGCAUCCCGGACCGAGCGUUCGACUUCGCGGCGGAUGGCAAGUCCGGUGGGGUGGCCCUGAGCACCACCAUCGCCCUCACCUGGCUCCAGAGUGACGCCUACUAUGCCGUGAAGCAAGCGCUAAUGAGCAAGAUAGACUCACCGGCCGUGAAAAGCAACAAUGAGUUGGACCUGUGCUACGACACCAACUCUGUGGCCAAGCUCAAGUUCCCCAAGAUAACUCUGGUAUUUGAUGGAGUGGACUCACCCGGGAUGGACCUCACAACGGUGCACUACUUCUACAAGGACACCAACACCGGGUUCCAGUGCCUCACCAUGCUGCCGAUGCCCAAGGAUUAUCCUUUAGGCUCCAUCCUAGGUAGCAUGCUGCAGGCGGGCACCAACAUGAUCUACGACAUCGGUGCCCGGCAGCUGACCUUCGAGAAGGCGGCGGCGGCGGCCCCACAGGUGCCACUCAUGGCGAUAGUCUCUCUCCUUGCGUGGGUGCUCCUCUUCUAG